rnacentral:rRNA from 1 species
AGCGAACGCUGGCGGCAGGCCUAACACAUGCAAGUCGAGCGGCCGUAGCAAUACGGCAGCGGCAGACGGGAGAGUAACACGUGGGAACGUACCUUUCAGUUCGGAACAACCCAGGGAAACUUGGGCUAAUACCGGAUACGCCCGUAAGGGGAAAGAUUAUCGCUGAAAGAUCGGCCCGCGUCUGAUUAGCUAGUUGGUGAGGUAAUGGCUCACCAAGGCGACGAUCAGUAGCUGGUCUGAGAGGAUGAUCAGCCUCACUGGGACUGAGACACGGCCCAGACUCCAACGGGAGGCAGCAGUGGGGAAUAUUGGACAAUGGGCGCAAGCCUGAUCCAGCCAUGCCGCGUGGAUGAUGAAGGCCCUAGGGUUGUAAAGUCCUUUCGGCGGGGAAGAUAAUGACGGUACCCGCAGAAGAAGCCCCGGCUAACUUCGUGCCAGCCGCCGCCGUAAGAC